rnacentral:rRNA from 1 species
CUCUCGGGCGUAGCGAAAGCAAAAUGAGUUUUCUUCGGAUUACUUGAGCUGAUCCGGUGCCUUUUCUCUUGAGAAGCCCGGCGCAGGCUAAGGGCCCGCCGUCGUCGACCUUGGUUCUCGAUCGUCUCGUGCGGUCUCCCUUGGUCGGUUGGCGGGCACCCGGAGCGUGCACGUUAGUACCCGAAAGAUGGUGAUCUAUGCUUGGCUAGAAUGAAGCCAGAGGAAACUCUGGUGGAGGUUCGUAGCGAUUCUGACGUGCAAAUCGAUCGUCGGAGCUGAGUAUAGGGGCGAAAGACCAAUCGAACCAUCUAGUAGCUGGUUCCUUCCAAAA